CCCGCUCAGAAACUCAAAGGAUUGACGGGGCCCGCACAAGCGGUGGAGCAUGUGGUUUAAUUCGAUGAUACGCGAGGAACCUUACCUGGGCUCAAAUGUAUGUUGACGUAUUCUGAAAGGGAUACUUCUUCGGACAAUAUACAAGGUGCUGCAUGGUUGUCGUCAGCUCGUGCCGUGAGGUGUCGGGUUAAGUCCCAUAACGAGCGCAACCCCUAUCAUUAGUUGCCAUCAGGUCAAGCUGGGGACUCUAAUGAAACUGCCUACGCAAGUAGUGAGGAAGGUGGGGAUGACGUCAAAUCAGCACGGCCCUUACGUCCAGGGCUACACACGUGCUACAAUGGCCGGUACAAAGGGCAGCUACCUGGUGACAGGAUGCUAAUCUCCAAAGUCGGUCUCAGUUCGGAUCGGAGUCUCGCAACCCGACUCCGUGAAGUUGGAUUCGCUAGUAAUCGCGCAUCAGCCAUGGCGCGGUGAAUACGUUCCCGGGCCUU
rnacentral:rRNA from 1 species